AUUGGUUCUGCUAAUUUGCAGCCGCACACUGCAUAAAAACAAGCCUAUUUCGGAAAUAAUAAGUUGUGAAGAUACAACAGUUGAAAACAUGGAUCGAAGAAUCAUCUUGUUGCUUGUUGUAUUGUUACUGCUCGAGUGCAGUGAUGCUGCGAAUAAUACGACAAAAGCACCCAGCACACGAAGAAGAAUAAGAAGGUGGCGUUGGUGGCGUUGGGGGCGUUGGGGGCGACGACGUUCGGUGCACAGACGUUGGUGGCAUGGAGACGAAGACACACCAGAGGAUUCUCCCGACAUGAUGGACAUGGAAGAUUUCGAUGACAAAUUGCUGGAAUAAAAGGCCUCGAACAACAGGCAGAGGAAUUGCAUGGUGCAUUGCUGAGUAAAACAUCACAACGCGAGCAUCGUAUCUAAAAAUAAAGUAAAACCAAAAAGUA